UUGGCCGGGCGACGGUUGUCCCGGUUUAAGCGUGUAGGUGUGUGUUCCAGGUAAAUCCGGUUCACUUUAACACUGAGGCGUGACGACGAGGCACUACGGUGCUGAAGCAACAAAUGCCCUGCUUCCAGGAAAAGCCUCUAAGCAUCAGGUAACAUCAAAUCGUACCCCAAACCGACACAGGUGGUCAGGUAGAGAAUACCAAGGCGCUUGAGAGAACUCGGGUGAAGGAACUAGGCAAAAUGGUGCCGUAACUUCGGGAGAAGGCACGCUGACACGUAGGUGAAGUGAUUUACUCAUGGAGCUGAAGUCAGUCGAAGAUACCAGCUGGCUGCAACUGUUUAUUAAAAACACAGCACUGUGCAAACACGAAAGUGGACGUAUACGGUGUGACGCCUGCCCGGUGCCGGAAGGUUAAUUGAUGGGGU
rnacentral:rRNA from 7 species